rnacentral:rRNA from 1 species
ACGGGUGGAGUAAUGUCUGGGAAACUGCCUGAUGGAGGGGGAGUAACUACUGGAAACGGUAGCUAAUACCGCAUAACGUCGCAAGACCAAAGAGGGGGACCUUCGGGCCUCUUGCCAUCAGAUGUGCCCAGAUGGGAUUAGCUAGUAGGUGGGGUAACGGCUCACCUAGGCGACGAUCCCUAGCUGGUCUGAGAGGAUGACCAGCCACACUGGAACUGAGACACGGUCCAGACUCCUACGGGAGGCAGCAUG